ACAAUUUAAAAAUACAGGUUGAGCACCAUUGUGGCCUGUUCCAGUCCCAGUUCAGAUCAACAUUCACAGUUCAAGACCAGGUUGACACACAAGACAAAUGCCAGGGAGAAUCUCUUGUAUGGCUGGAAAGCCAUAGCCAUCUGACAGUCUGGUGGCAGAAAUUGAGUUCAGAUGAGAAGAGUGAUCUUUACCCAGUGAACCACAGUACUUAAUGCUGGCAAGCCACAGGCAGA